CGGGUGACACAGUGACAGAGUGAGGGAGCGGGUGACACAGUGACAGAGUUAGGGAGGGAGUGACUAGUGACAGAGAGAGGGAUGGGGUGACUAGUGACAGUCACCCCCCCCUCACUCUGUCACAGUCAUCCCCUCACUCUGUCACUAGUCACCUCUUCCCUCCCUCACUUUGCCACUAGUCAUCUCUUCCCUCCCUCACUCUGCCACUAGUCACCCAUUCCCUCACUCUGUCACUAGUCACCC